UACGAAGGGGGCUAGCGUUGCUCGGAAUCACUGGGCGUAAAGGGUGCGUAGGCGGGCCUUUAAGUCAGGGGUGAAAUCCUGGAGCUCAACUCCAGAACUGCCUUUGAUACUGAAGAUCUUGAGUUCGGGAGAGGUGAGUGGAACUGCGAGUGUAGAGGUGAAAUUCGUAGAUAUUCGCAAGAACACCAGUGGCGAAGGCGGCUCACUGGCCCGAUACUGACGCUGAGGCACGAAAGCGUGGGGAGCGAUCCGG
rnacentral:rRNA from 1 species